CUGACGACCGGCGCACGGGUGCGUAACGCGUAUAGAACCUACCUUUUACAGAGGGAUAGCCCAGAGAAAUUUGGAUUAAUACCUCAUAGUAUUUUAGAUUGGCAUCGAUUUAGAAUUAAACAUUUAUGGGUAAAAGAUGGCUAUGCGUUCUAUUAGCUAGUAGGUAAGGUAACGGCUUACCUAGGCGACGAUAGAUAGGGGUCCUGAGAGGGAGAUCCCCCACACUGGUACUGAGACACGGACCAG
rnacentral:rRNA from 1 species